AGCAGCCGCGGUAAUUCCAGCUCCAAUAGCGUAUAUUAAAGUUGUUGCAGUUAAAAAGCUCGUAGUUGAAUUUCGGGAUCAGUUGGUCGGUCGUGCCUCGGUACGUACUGGUCAAAUUGAUUCCUACCUUCUGACGAACCACGAUGUCAUUAAUUUGGUGUCGCGGGAAAUCAGGACUGUUACUUUGAAAAAUUAGAGUGUUUAAAGCAGGCUCGCGCUUGAAUACAUUAGCAUGGAAUAAUGAAAUAGGACGUUUGAUUCUAUUUUGUUGGUUUCUAGGAUCGACGUAAUGAUUAAUAGGGAUAGUUGGGGGCAUUAGUAUUCAAUUGUCAGAGGUGAAAUUCUUGGAUUUAUUGAAGACUAACUACUGCGAAAGCAUUUGCCAAGGAUGUUUUCAUUAAUCAAGAACGAAAGUUAGGGGAUCGAAGACGAUCAGAUACCGUCGUAGUCUUAACCAUAAACUAUGCCGACUAGGGAUCGGAUGAUGUUAAUUUUUUAAUGUACUCAUUCGGCGCCUUAC
rnacentral:misc_RNA from 1 species